GUCACCAUGACAAUCGUUGCUGUGUUUUGCUCCCAAAUCAUUCUCCAAAAGUCAUUCACUGUUUCUUCUUUUGGUCCUUGUGCAGCAAUGAACUUGUUUUUCUCUUGGUACCCAUUAAUGAAGGAGGCGUUAAUGUAGUCAGAGUCAGGAACCCCUUCAACAGGAGUCAGGUGAACCCUGGAAUGAUCAUAGGGCAAAAUGUUCACGUAGCGGUUCUUCUCCUUGUUCUCCUCCUUGGAAGCAGCUUCACAUGUGGCCUGAAUGGGACACGCUGGGAGAGCGUUGAACUCUUCUCGGAAGAGCUUGUUGUCAUCUGCCAUGCGGCGGUUGAUCUCCUCCUCCAGCUUGUCGACAGGCAGAGGUGGGUAUUUCCUGUUGGUGCUGGGGGACCUGGCGAGCAGCGGCAUGCUCUGGGGCUCUGCAUCAUCUGUCCGGCCAUUGGGCAGGCGGAA
rnacentral:lncRNA from 1 species